CUUGAAAGAACUGGCUUGUAGACUACAUGGACUGCAAAGGGUGAUCAGAAGCUGUGAAUGCAUACCACAGGUUCCAGAAACCACCUGUGGCAUAAAGCAAUAUUCUGCUACUGAGACAAGAUAAUUAAGAAUCCCUGUGGACAGCACUGAUCUCACAGAGCGAGGCCAGGAAUGGUACCGGAGGAUUGGAGAGAGGUUCUUUUGAAGACCCUGACCUGGAGUUACAUGCUGACUUCGGUUCUUUGCGGAAAUGGGACCUGCUCUCGGGGCCUCACGACUGGCCGCUUUCCAAUAUGCUGAGGACGCGACCCAGAAGACUAGCCCGCCUUCAGGGUACCAGAUUUUCAUGGAACUGGAGGCGAGUGGAUUCAAGUCUAGUGCCGCCACUCACCACCUGAUGCAUUGUGGGAAACGGAAGAUCGAAAGCAGCGACCUGGAUGCUGGCUGUGUGUCCAGAGACCCGAGUUCUUUGGGCACAGAGCUCGGAAGAAGCGACGCAACAGACUUUGAACAUCGUAAAUCAGUAGGUUGCUUUGUUAUGUCUCCCCUCUCGCUGUGAAACAGAGACACUUCUUUUUCCCUUGUUAGGGAGAGAGAGAGCCUGUGGUAUGUCGAACACCAGGUGAAUGAGUAGUCUUUGGGAUACUGCAAAGUCUGUGUCUUUAUUGAUGCCUUGCUGCACG